rnacentral:rRNA from 1 species
UACAGAGGUCUCAAGCGUUGUUCGGAUUCAUUGGGCGUAAAGGGUGCGUAGGCGGCGCGGUAAGUCGGGUGUGAAAUCUCGGAGCUUAACUCCGAAACUGCAUUCGAUACUGCCGUGCUUGAGGACUGGAGAGGAGACUGGAAUUUACGGUGUAGCGGUGAAAUGCGUAGAUAUCGGGAGGAACACCAGUAGCGAAGGCGGCACUCUGGGCCGUGACUGACGCUGAGGAGCGAAAGCGUGGGUAGCAAACAGG